rnacentral:lncRNA from 10 species
CGGAGGCCCAUGAUCCAGCUGUUGUAUGGUCUCUGGGCCGUCUUGCAGAGAAAUUAUGACCUACAACAUCAGAAGAAUGAUGUGAACUCAACUCAAGAUUUGCAUAAACUGAACAUUAGCAAGUCCUAAUAUUUAAAGUGGGAUAACUAAGUAAAAACUCUCUCCAAGCUGUCUGACAGCCUUAUGAAUAUGCAGAUAGGAAACCAAAGACUGACUUCCAGUUGUCUGUAGUAAAUACAUCCGCCGAAAUGUGCAGCCAAAGCGGAGGAUUUAAGUCUACACAGUGUUUUCUUCUAAGUACAACACUUAGAGAAAUGAUGUUGUUAAUUACAAAUCUCUGCUCUUUCAUAUUGACUCUAAAAUGGAAUCUGCCUCUGUCACCAGGCUGGAGUGUAGUGGUGUGAUCUUGGCUCACUGCAACCUCUGCCUCCCGGGUUCAAGCAAUUUUCCUGCCUCAGCCUCCCAAGUAGCUGGGAUUACAGGCACGCACCACCAUGCCCAGCUAAUUUUUGUAUUUUUAGUAGAGACGAGGUUUCACCAUGUUGGCCAGGAUGGUCCCGAUCUCUUGACCUCGUGAUCCACCCGCCUUGGCUUCCCAAAGUGCUGGGAUUACAGGCUUGAGCCACUGCACCCAGCCUAUAUUGCUAAUAAACUAAUAUUAUCUCAUUGUUCUAAUAUUGUUUAUGUAUUAUCUCUUCCCUUUCAAUAUUUAUACUUAUUGCUUCCUUUUGUUUAUAAUUUAUGUCACUCCAUGUUUCAGAAUCAAGCAUCCUAUUUGAGUUGAGGUCUGUCACUAGCAUAAGAAUGAUAAAACAGUUGUGCAGUUCUGGGUCACAUGCAUUUAUUCCCAAUUGAAAUAAAAUGCAUCAAGAUUUUAUAUGUGAAGUAUAAUGAUUGCUAUAAAUUUUGGAACAUAGUCUUAAUGGAGAUUAGGACAUUCUUUUACAUUUCUUUUUUACUAAAAGUGAUUACCAAAACUUUUAG